GUUGAACUUUGUUUUAUCAUUUACAAUGUAUCAAGUAAUGAAUCUAAAUUCUUUGUUCAUUUAUUGGUUGCCUUGAAUGCUGAAAACUCGACCUUCAGUGUCUUUGGAUUCUUCAAGAAACUUAUGAAUUGAUUUUUCCAUGGCUUCUUUUAGAGAUUGCCAUGAUUAAAAGUUUCUCUGUCUUUGAUAUAUUCAUCAUCAGAAAUCUGUUCCUAUAUAAGAAUUUGGAUAUUUUCUAGACAAUAUUUUUCCAAAUAACUUAAUAAUAUUGAGUUUUGAAGCUAGUGUAAAUACACUAGAUUUCUUUAGGCACUCAGAUGGUUGCGUGAUAAGUCUUUGGCAUGCUACAUGGAAGGACCUGGGUCCCACAUCUUUCAAAAUGCUUUUUCAGGAUUCCAGGCCUGAUCCAUUGAUUUCUGUCCCUCACUUAGCUGGUCCUCCUUCAUGAGUGUAGAUGCAGCCUGUAGUUGGAAAUGGCCUGCCCCUAAGUAAUCUUACUGAUUGGAAAGGGGUGUAGAAAUAAAAAGAAAAACUAGAUUUCUUUGAAAUAUUUUGUGGAUUUUGCAAAUAUAGCAAAAGUUUAUUGCAAUUUUAUUUAUUAAGGCAAUUUCAUAUCAAAAUGUUUUAAUUAAUUUUUACAUAUUAUUUCUUAUAUCUAAAGCCAGUUCUUAAAUUUUUCAAAUUUAUCCAAAAAAACUGGUUUUUAAACCAAGUUUUUAAAAACCGACAAAUCAUAUGUAGAGCAUUCUUUAAUUAGCAUGAAAAGACAUGCAGUUUUUAAUAGAGCAUAUACACAAAUGAUAAAAAUCACCAAAGCUUGUAUACAUGACUGUUACAAUGCUCAUGCACACAAAAGCUUUCUCAUAUUCAAAUAUGUAUUGCAACUGAUGGUGGACAUUUUGAACAGUAUCUAUAAUAGACUCCUUGCUUAUUUCUCAUCUUUUCCUUUGAUGAGCCAUUUCCUUAAUUAUUGCUUUUUGUUUACCACAUUUUUUACCAUUUGUGUACAUGGUGUGC
rnacentral:lncRNA from 1 species